rnacentral:rRNA from 1 species
AAUGAACGAGGGGGGCAGGCCUAACACAUGCAAGUCGAGCGGACGAAGGGAGCUCGAUACUGGCUUCCGCAGCGGACGGGCAGGUAAUGCCCAGGAAUCUGCCUGGCAGAGGGGGCUAACGUCCGGUCACGGGCGCUAAUACCGUAUCCGUCAAGAGGGUGAAAGUGGGGGUUCAUCGGACCUCACGCUAUUUGAUGACCCUUGGCCGGAUUAGCUAGUUGGAGGUGUAAAGGCGUACCAAGUCGACGAUCCGUAACAGGUCUGAGAGGGUGAUCAGUCACACUGGAACUGAGACACGGUCCAGACUCCUACGGGAGGCAGCAGUAGGGAAUAUUCGGCAAUGGGCGAAAGCCUGAUCCAGCCACGCCGCGUGUGUGAAGAAGGUCUUCGGAUCGUAAAGCUCUGUAAUUAGGGAAGAAGAGCAGUGUAUGAAUACCUGGCCGUUUUGACGUUACCAACAGAAUAAGCACCGGCUAACUUCGUG